AAAGUAAAAAGUGGUCAGAAAAGAGCAAAAAGUUUGCUCUUUUCGGGCCUGAGCAAAAUCAGGCAGCAGGAGAGAAAAGCCUGCGGGACCCAU
rfam:Caldicellulosiruptor saccharolyticus DSM 8903, complete genome.